UUAGUCGGGCAAGUUGGACGCGUCAAAGAGAUCCAAGGUGAACCUCAAAGUACUUUAUCGAAUGGUAAGAAAGUGGCGAUAUAGGAGAAGGAACGCAAGGGUCAUCGAUGGGUUACGAAGAGUGCCGAUAUGAAGAAAGGAUGUAGAUAAGGAAAGGAGGAUGAGAGAAAACGAAUUUUAUAGGAGAAAGAAUUGCACAUUAGUUCCACCACAUUGGAUCUCAGAUAGCUCCUUUGCUACGUGCAGUUGCCUUGAAAUUAAAUAUCCUUAGUCAUGUACAGUGUUCGAAAUAUUACAUUUUUCUUUACGAACGUGUCACAGUGAAGUUAAGGAUAUAUCGAGUCGAGUAAUAAGUUCGUUCACCUGUCGCUAACGUAUACGUAUCGAAGAAUGUUAUAAAAAUUGUUUAACGAAUGCAAAAAUACAGAACGUACUGACGAGCAGAAUGAGACUCCAAGCUGCGAUAAUUUUUAACGAAAGACAUAAUUAAAUGCCUCUUCGGCUACGAUGUCCUUUUCAUUCUUUUACGCGGGGAAAUCCUCAUGGACACCUCAUCGCUCUUCUGGGAAGCGGCGGGAUAGUGCCAGACUUACUAACUAAAACCCCACGGUGGCCUACCUGACGCUUAACAGGGUUGCCCCGGGACCUCUUUCGAAUUGCUGCCGGAGCACUCCUGCGUCUUCUUCCAUUCUGAGGAAGCCAUUCCUCAGGUUUAGUUUGGUCAUUGAGAGAGGCCACCCCUUUCAACGCUAUCUCCUGGGCCGUCAUGCAAGUCCGAGGAGGACCUAGGGUGCAAGGCCGCCCUUCGGCGCGGAAUCCUACAAGGGUAGGAAGUUCUCUCCGCCCGCUCCUUUGCGAGCAUUACUUCUUCUCAAUAGGAGCGGACUGCGAGGAAUUCCUGUUGCCCUCUCAGCAUCUUCCACGACUGACGAGGAGUCCAAACUCUCGUCAGUCGUUAGUCGCAGGACAUGGCGGGAAGCCUCCCACACCGGACAAAACUUCAGCGUGUGUUGGGCCGUGUCCUCGGCUUCUCCGCAGUGGUGACAGGUGCUCGUCGCCUCUCUUCCAAUUUUCUGUAGGUACUCACCGAAUACUCCAUGCUCGGCAAACACCUGCGUCAUCCAGAAGGAUAACGGGAGCCUUCCACGUUCCCUCCAAACCUCCCAGCUCGGAAGAACCUCGUUGAGCUGCUGAGAGUAAAAUAUCGGCUGCCUGAAAUUCUUCCUAAUUCCUAUCGAUUGAUAUUUUUGGAUACAACGUUUCAUAAUGGCAUGUUUCAGUUGUGUAUGCAGUCGUCGUGUUAAAACGUGCAGCAACGUGAGUUGAGAUAGAUAUAUUGAACAUGUUUUUCUAUUAUUCAUAACUAACUGGAAAAAUCGAAGCCGAUAGGAUGUACGUUCGUACGAAGUUUUUUCCUUUUUUUUUUUUUUGUUUAUUUUAACGUACGUUCAUCUCGUGAAAUACAGGCAUGCAUUUAUGAAGCAUCCUGCGCACGGAGGAAACAAUCGUCGAUUGCUCGCCGUAGAUUGCUCGGCUUCCUCUAACAGGCGUGGCCCCGAAGCAAAUUUCCGAUUACCCUAGCCGGGCUAACAUUUACAUACACCAUACAUUUGCCUCUCUAUGCAGCGAUCUGCAGCAAAUCGCGGGGGCUCGCGUUGACCUCCAUCGAGGAGAAUCCUCUAGGAAUCAAGACUAUAGGUAUCCAUUCAGUCUGCACACCAUCGGAACUGUCUGUGGCCAAUAAAAAUACCAAAACGUUUUAUCGCUACGAUGAAUGGCAAAGCUGUAUCGAGCUCGCAAAUUGCCAGGUUCUCGCCAGACGUUGCGAUUUUCAUUCUUUUCCUUCGUUGUUUCAGUCUUAUUCCCCUUUCAUUGUGCAAACUUGGUUCUCCGACUGCCGAUAUCGUGAAAACUUAAAAAACAUGCGCCAAUUCGUCGAUCGCGAUGCACCGGCUGCAGGAUGUUUCCCUCGUGGGAGAACUCCGCGCUACUUUGCUGUUGGAAUUCCAUUGAUAAUUAAUGUGCUCACGCACGCACGACACUUUUGACGAGUAAGCGCAGGAGCUGUACUUUUAUCGCGCCGCUUGCAGUUCUAUGAAUCCGGAAGAAUACAGGAACCCGCGGCAGUCUGGAAAUCUGUUAAUCUGAUCCGUUACGACCUGAAAAUACCAUCCAGACUUAGUAUGCGCCAGUCUUCUACUAUCUUCAUCUCCAUUUCGCUAUCGCGCUUCCAGUGACCGCACGAUAACACUUUCUCUCUCUGUACCAGAUUUUUGGAAAUUCCAUCUCACUUCUUCGUAGGUUGAGCUAUAGGAGUCUCUAAAGUCUCUAAUCCAUUGCAGACAUCCGUCUGAACAAUACAAAAAGGAAAUCGCGUCAGUCCGAAAAUUGCCGUCAAUCGAUUCAUUUGCUUCUUUAGGACGAAUGUUAUCACGAGGACAGGGUUACCACGGGAACAUCGAAGUUUGCUGAGGCAGUUAAAAGUUGGGCGGCGACGGUAGAGCCGGAAUAGUUCGGUUACAGUCGAAAAUGGCAAUAAAAUCUCGCGCGGCGCUCACGCCUGGAAUGAUUUAUCCCUAACGAAUUCGAAGAUUCGGCUUUCUUGCUUGUGACGGUUCGACCGUUAAGAUAACUGGCUUAAUUGCCUCGUUCGCUGUGGUUCGCUCCCGGAGAGGCGAAAUUGAAGACGACGAAGUUAGACGCUAACGAGCUUUGCGAUCGGUUUCCUGCGUUUCCUCGCGAAUUUUAGUUCUAUAUCCUAGAGUUGGGUCUCGUCGUUGGAUAUAUCCUCCACUUUGAUUUUGCACAUUUGUACGCUGAGACGCGGCAAUUGGCGAAAUUAUAAAAAUUCUAUGCAUCGAAAGCGAAGCUUGGAACGUUGGUGAAAUUGGAAAGCGAGUGGAACGAUGGAGUGAAACGCGAGACAGAUAAUCGCGUGAAACGAGAAAGCGAAGCGGGGCAAAUCGCGAGGACAAAAGACCGAGCCUUAGAUUGAGUGCGAACUCGCUAAACAGACUGCGGCAAGUUGCCGCGUACACCUUCCUUCUAUCUCGCCUUCCUGGCCUUCUCGCGUCAGGCGCAUUUGCAUUUGAAAUCGAGAUGAACCUUUGGAUAAAAGGAACGUCCCGUUCCACCGCUAUCUUCAAACACUGGUUUACUUGUAUCGUGUGAAAGAAGGGGCCAGGAAAGCUCGAUGUGGCCAGAGAACGAGAAAACACGAAGACAAAGAGGGAUGAACGGCGCGGCUGGGAGACAGAGGAAAGUGCGGAAAUUUCGCAACUUUUCCCUGGCGCGACUAUCCGCGCUGUAACUCGUACAGGUUUUCGCGAGCUCAACCUGCGCAGACUCUUCGAAGAAAGGAGGCAGACUGCACCCUAUUGUUUAGCGCGGGAAUGGAUGCGAGCUUGGUGGAAUACAAAAUAGAGACGUGACCUACCUCGAUCGUCGUAAGCGUCGAUAGAGCCAGAGGUGAUGAAAUGGUGGAAGGAACGCUGCCAGAUAAGGAGAGAGAGAGAGAAAAGAAGAAAGAAAUCGCGGGAAGAACGCAUCGUGAUGACGACACUCCGACGCAUAGCGUCACACAGAUCGGAGGAGAACAACUGGAUUAAACACUGUUUCGCAAAUGAUUUCACACGCACAGUUUCACUCCAUACCCAGUGUCCUUUCAUCGUGCAAACACUAUUUACGGAGAAUUCCAUUCCACUCAAUAUUUUCUAUUCGUUACACCGUAUAAAUACAACAAAGAAACGCAACGCGGUGUGUCGACGUUGAAUUUGUACGAGUCAUUUUUCGCGUUAAAAACCGACAUUACCCGAGCGACAAUCGACUCUAGUACAAUUGCAUAUCGACAAGCGUUUCCGUGGUGCGAAAAAUCGUUGGAUUUCAACGAAGAAUCGCAGCAAACCGGAAGUUGCUUGAUAGAAGCUGCAGCAACGAAACCAAUAAACGGUGGAAAAUAGAAAAACGCAGGAAUUCGCAAAGUAUCGUGUUCGAUCUUAAAACUGAAUGGAACGCUGAUGAAAAUCGUCAGGGAUGGUGGUUGCUGAAGUAAACCGAUUGCAGAAGAGAAGGUAAAAGAGCCGAGGAUAUAAGAAGAUGAAGAAAAGGGUAGAACGAUUUGGCAACAGAGGCGCGGAUAAAUAAAAGCGAGAGAAAGAAACGGCGUGGAGGACCGUGCCAGAGUGUACAACUACGUGUCGGGAAAGAAAAUGAAGAGAGUCGAGUCUGCGCGGCUUCGUAUCUGUUGUUCAAGCUACCGUUGAAUCUAAUGACGCGAAAUUCCGGUUGCAUUCGCACCGGUUUGAAGUUUUAUCAUUCGACUUGGCUGGAAAUUUUUGAGCGAUCGUUUCUCUGGCGCGCUCUGCGUGCAAACCUUCUUCCGCUCUCUUUGCUCUAUCUUCUUUGCUCGUUGCUGUUCUUUGACUGUGCGCUAGCCGUGAUUGCUUCGUUGCGCUUGCUCUUUGUCGGGAAAGAGGAAUGAAACGUCGCUGUUGGCGUAGCAGAUCGAAAGGGAAUGGCACGACUGACCAACUGUGGCUCAACGUUCAAAUAUUAUAAUGCUCGUCGAGUGGUUCGUCGAUCGAGAAACUCGCUUCAAAGCGCUGGCAAGUGUGGCGAUAAAUUCUGUUGAUUUUAACGGCACUACCGGCAGCUAGAGAUGCGAAAUAUCCGAAGAGAAAAUAAAAUUCUCCGACUAUUCUCAGAGCUUUUAUAUGAAACGAGCUUUUUUCUCCUUGUCUGUAAUAGCUUCGCUGUAUUGUUUUUGACUCUAGUUCGUAGAACGACGAUAUAAAUUUCGGGCAAUCGUGCGCGAAACUACAGACAGGAAUCAGAACGCAGUUACAAUAACGUUGUAAAUUGAAAAAGAGGUCUGUGCACGAAAUCGUUCGUGCUCGACAUACAUCCUAGAGCUGCAAUCAACCGCACGGUCGUGUAACAGCGCUUUGCAUGCAAGAAAUUGGAUCGCUACGAAAGGUAAUCUGAUUCCGACCCUAAAAGAAUGUCGUUAAAAUCCUUUAUUUCGCGCUGUCGUGCUACUAAUCGCUUUAUAUCUAGACUCGCAUCAGCAUGCGACUUGCAACGAUUUCCUUCCGUGAAACGCGUUGAUAUCUUACCACUGUUUCUUCCAUGCUGCCUAAUAAAACCCUUAUUUUCGACACAAUGCAAAUGAGCAAUUAACGUAAUUAGUUACAUGUUGGAGAUGGAUACACGGUAAAAUAGUCGUUAGACUCUAAAAAGAUAUUGAAACGUUAUUCGAGAGAUUUGUGAUUUGAAAAGUCGGAUAGACCAUUGGAGAAAACGGUCGAUCGAAAACAGUUUCUUCCGAAAGAUUUUGUAACGGCAAGCAUGAACAUUUGUAAUAAUUUACAAUAUAAGUCGUAAACUCGGUACUAGACUUAACAAAUAACUGUUAUGGGCUGCCUUCCGAUCGAUUAAUCUGUCGUCCGCAAUUAACGAGAAACUUUUUUAAUUAAAUGAACCUUCACUUAUAAUUAAUUUUCAACGUCUUACGAUGAAUACACGUUUUUCUCCUGUUGGUCUUCUUAUUAGUUUCCGACGAUUUAUUUUCACGGUUCUUGAUUACUUCUUAAUCAUUUCGCUGUGCAAUUAAUAAUCAACUUUAUAAACAGAUUUUAUCGUUCACCGUGAAAAGCAAGAAUUUAAUAAUGAACAGUAUGCACUUAAUGCAAAAUUUUAAUAAUGUAUAUUUAAUCUCUAGCCGAUGCAACGAAUAUUAAACAGUUUCCAAUAAUUUCUAGAUUUAUAUUUCAAAAUUGCCGAUCAAUUUCAUCUAGUCACCUAUGCGUAGCAAUGUGUGAUUAGAUGUAGUAACAAUCGAUGCGUAUCGCGUAAGUAGAACGCUGCGUCAGUGAUAUAAGUCAACGUUUAAUCAGCCAUGCUGUAUACCGCAUUUACCAGGCAUUGCGUUUCACGUAGGUCGAACGAAAAAUUCUUGGAAUGGAAUGAAAAGACACUCUGUACGGUUUGCAAACAAUUUUUAUAUUCCAAUAUAACGUAUCGAAGCUAUUAUAGCGUCGUACAUACUUUCCUUCGCGAAGACUUGCAAAAGAUAUUCACCAACGGUUUCUUCGACGUCCUCGUCUCGCAAGAAUUUCUUUUCAGCGGGAAAAUUUUUAACCGUGGAGAUAAAUGGAAGUCAGAGACAACUAAAUCUAGCGAGCAAGGCGGAUGUCGCAAUAAAUUGUACUUCGUUCAUUUUGUACCUUAGAAGCUUGUACGAGGACGUUCGUUACCUCUCUAGAAGACUACUUUUCUUCGUUUUGUUAAAUCUACGUCGAUCGUUUCUAAUCCUCGUAGCAAAUAUAACCUCACGACACAGGUUAAUUUUCUCUAGCUCCUUCUCGUAGUUUGCUCUUAACUGACCUUAUUCUCGAGUGCAUACUGUCACCUACUCCUCAGAAGUACGCGCGCAGUUCCUUACGAAACUAACCAGCUCUCUGGCCUGCUGCAACACUAAAUAAAUCAGAAUUAAACACCAGAGCUAGGAGAAUAUUCAAAUUUCACUCCAACGUGUCUAUACACUUUAGGCAAAUACAUUCGAAGACCAUAACGAAACUUAUUUCCAAAAAAUGUUAGAUCGAUUAAUAAGUCUAUUCGCGUUUCCUUGCGAGAACACAGGGGACGUGUUAUUGCUUUCGUACAAAAUGUGUCGAGAAAUACCUGAUUUAUCCCAUCUGACUGUAAAUGUAUAUACACCUGUGUGUUUAGGAAGAUAAUGUUCCGAGUUGCGUCAGCGGUUCGUGAACGUUACACUUCAGUCCUUCGAGACAGACACGAAACUCUGCCCUGUUCCAUUAAUCAUCGUGAAACCUUGCAAUCUAAAAUAAAUAUACGUCUUCCAUAAAAAGUUGCAAUCUAUAUGUAUUUUAGAUUCUUUAAAUAAUUUUCACAUUUCUUGAAACUCUACAUUGGUAGAAAGCGAGCGAAUUUAUUACUCGGUUCACUAUGUAAUCAUCAGCGUGCAACAUAAUAGAAAGAAACGAUAUCCAGCCGCAAUUACGUAACAAUCAGCUAAUGCACGAUUCAUUGGAAUCUCUCUCACUUUUCUCGUUACCAAUAUUCUAUACUCGCUAAGUCCAAGCACGUUCUUCCAUCCGCCAAUUCUAUCGCGUUGUUUCUCCCGAUGAAUACGAGCGACGCAUUAGUCCCGGAAGGCUGCAUAAUUACAAAUGACGAAACUAUUACGAGGUUCGGUGGAACUUUUGCGCGAACCAAGAGCCGAAAGCUCAACUAUUCGCCGGCGUAUGUAACGCGCACAGAUACAACGCGCGUACAAGUACACGUACACGUACGCUGGACGAGCAGGACCUCACGCUGACAAAUUGUUAUCGCGACGUUUCCAGGAUAACGAAAUACAUAAUUCAGCCAGCGUUAGUGGCGCGGAACAUUCAGACGCCUCUAGGCUAUUGUCGAAACGCCCGGCGCGACACGCUGCAACGAACGAAGGAUUUUGUAUCGUGGAUUUUGUCAACGUUGCGUUGGUCGGGGGCGAAUACGUCCAAAGUUUAACUGACAGCCGUUCAAGAUGCGUAUAGGAGAUGGAAGAGGCGACGACGAGCGUCGAAGUGUCCCGUCGUGAACACCAACGACGAAACCGCUCUGACACGGAAUUAAUUAAUCAUUUAUUUAAGGACGGCAAAGAAGCGGCUGGUCGAUGAAUAAACGAGCCGCCAGAUUUAUUAAAAUAUUGCCGGAUCGAAUCGGCUCUGUUGGAAAUUGUUAAUUUCUGCUGGAAAUAGAAUUUCCGAUUGACCGUUGGGCUGCGUUCGAAGUAUCGUAGAUGGAGCGAAGUUUGCUUUCGAGAGGUUUAAUCGAUCGUUUAUUUAUUCAGGCAGCGAUGGAAAUUGGUUGGAACGAGAAAUAAUAUUGCGCGUAGAUGUUGGUCUCCCUUUGCAAUUUAAUGUCUUUGACAUCAGAAAUAGGUUGUCGCCUGGAUUUCGUGCUGGAUACGGUGCAUCUUACAACGACGUUCGUUGUUCCCUCGAAACCGCAAUGUUAGACUCGCGCGGCGUCAAAUAGAAUUGUCGAAAGAAUUUUUAAAGAGGGGGGGGGGGGGAGGCGGAGCGGCCGAAGAAAUCCUCGCGCCGUACGUACAGCGAGAGAAAAAAAGUGGAAUUCCUGUCAAACGUCAAAGCGGAAAUUAUUUUUCGACGUCGUCCGCUAGGAUGUUUCUUCCUCGCGUGACGUAAAUGUGGCGGAAAAGCUCGCACGAAAAGACGCGGAAUAAAGUGAAACGGUAGCGGGAUACCUCAUUCUCGGAAUUUUCGGAAGCAUUUCCGAGAACACACGUUCGAGCUUACUCGCUUCAUUCCUUCGUUCUGCUCUGUCAAAUUAUUCAAUUCAUUUCCGCGCGGCUUCCAACUAACUCGAACUCCUCCGAUUGUCUCCCACCCUACUCCUUCCUUUUUCCUCGUGACUUUCAGCCCACACCAAUGACGUUCAACUUAAAUGCAGAUUUGCCCUUUCGUCGCGGAUUUCACGUUAUCGCUGUUAUCGGAACAAUCCCGAAGAGGUUGCUUCGUGUUCGACAUGGAAAAUAGACCGCACAUAAUUAAUGCAUUUCGGGUUCGUUGUCCUCGCGUUGCUUCGUUUCAUCGAUAUGUGUAUUUCGGAUUUCUUUCGUUUAAUACUUUAAUAUCCGCGAUUUAAUAAACGCUUCGUUAUUCGAGGGAUAAUAAACGCGAUAUUUUUUAGUGUAAAUAUCUCUUAUUUUUUCGCGGAGUUUUUCUGCAUUUAUUUUUAAAUUUAUCUUCCUUUUUUUAACAUUUUAGCACGCUAUCUAUUUUCUCUUAGCGUUCCGCGAGCCCUUAGUUUAUUUUGCAAUAAUAUUCGUGUAACGUGCAAGCGUUAGUCGAAUAUUUUUCUCAAGUAUCUCGCUAAUCGAAAAUUCAGCGUCGAUGGUCUUUUACUGUAUUAUUCGCACAAUUUUCAAUGGAUAAUUUGCAGGGGAUUUUCGUCCGCUUUUGCACGGUGUCUGAAACGAACAGUGCAUCGCGGUGAUAUACCGAGGUAAUAGAGUUUCACCGUGUGUGUAUAUUUGAAGCAUGCGAACGCGAAUUGAGUUUGAUCGGUGAUAGUAAUCAAUUACACGUGAAAGUAAUUAAUCACGAUAUAAUCUUUUGACAAUGAAACGCACAGUCUCUUGUUUACGUACGGAAAUCUCGACAUUUUGUUUGAAAUUCGCGUUAUGCGUUAAAAAUACCCGUUUUAUUUAAUAUAUUCCGUGGUAGUAAGGACUCAUAGUGCACCGGGCGUAUAACAAUGAAGCAAAUAUUACGAGGGAGAGAAUUUCUGAUUGACGGUGCAGAUGAUAUACGAGUUUCCUAACAAGAUAUCCUGUUGUUUCACGAUGAAUCGCGCAGAUAUUUGAAUCGAAACGAGAUUCCCUGGAAUUUCGGUCGAUGGUUGCAUUCAAGGGAAACUGUAAAUAGUUAGCGAGAACACGAGCGUUGUUUCCCGCAGAAAACUUAAAACGACUGCAUCAGAUCGAGUAUAAAAGAACUUUUUCCUAUAGCCCAUGUAUACCGCGUUAAUUGUUGUUGUCCGAUAAAUCGUAGUUAACCGGUCUUCCCAAUUAAAUUAAUUAGCUUUUGAACAAUUGUCAAAGGGAACGAACAUCUUACAGGAAUAUCGUGACAGAGCGAGUCUCCUCCGAACUAUGUCAGUCCUGGAAUUAAUAAACGAAACAUAUAUAUACAUAUUUCGAGUCAUCGAACGUUGCAAAUAAAAGGAGAUCGAGGUAUAGGGACUGUUUUACAGGAACGGUUAAGCAACAAAAAGAUCGAGGUAAAUGGGCAAUUCCUCCAAGAGAGUGGUAGUUAACCGAUGAAAAAAAAUUCCAAUUCGAGAGAUAUGAAAGCGGUUUUUCGUUUGGCCCGUGUAAAUAACUGCGUCCGAUUUAUGGAGCGCAUCACAGCGUAAUUUAGGAUAGGCGAGCUCAGCUUCUCUGUUGGGCGUAAAAUACAUACCGCGGAGAGGCUGCUCCUCGAAGCAUGUUCACUCAUUACCGUGACUUAAGAAGAAGCGAAGCCCGGGUAAAGGCGAAAUUGAGUGAAACGAGAUUAAAACUCGGAACGAAAUACUGUGUAAAUUCAUUGCUUCGGGUGUCUGGCUCGAUGAAAGGAGCGACCGUUGCACGCGGAGCAAGGAAUUUCUGAUAGCGUUAAAAUGCACGUAACGAGCGCUCUGCUAGCUUCCCGUGCACCCUUCCUUGCCUUCGUACCGCUCUCCUCUUUCAGCUUUUCUCCGUUGCGCGCGCGGUUCCUUCGAUCGCUCGUUUUCUUUAAUCGACGAAUCCCUCGCAGUGGCUCACGGCUCAACGACGAACGCCUAUUUCAUCCGCCGGCUGCAUUUAGUUUUUUCCCCUCUCCACCAAGCAUCGACUGUUUCAGUGUAAAUUACAUACAUUACGGAUAUCUUUCGCUCCAUUCAUUGUCCAGAGAAUCGAAAUUAAAGAGGAGCAAAGAUCUAUACAUUCACGCGAAGCAUCGCGUGUUUCUUUCCACCAGGAAAGAUGCUCCACCGACGUAUCUUGAUAUUUCGAUAUAAGUUUCGCUACUCUUUCGUCCUUAAAACGAAGCGACGAUAUCGUCGUUGUACGAAAUGGUAACAACGUUAGAAGUCGUCUAUCGCUGUGUACGUGUGUCUUUUUUCACAUUUUUAUUUCGAUUACGCGAAACACGGAGGCUGCGCGAGUCUGACGUUGUUUGUGCGUAAAUUAAAAAUAUUUGGCUCGUUGUGGCUCGCGGGAGUGAACGUGGUAAUUGAAUCGAGCGAAGCACGGAACAAAUGAAAUAUCCGUUUUAUUUCUGUUGCGCGUGGCUGCCACGCUCUGAAAAUUCCAGCAGCUUCGUUUUCUCUGCAAUUAUACGUAUACGCGAUACCUUUCUGGCGAUGGAGAACACAACUUACUUGCAACGCGUGUCUCGUUAUAUAUCAUAACGGCCGUGCAAACCUACCAAAGUGAAAUACGAAGUUUCGCGAAGUUCCAAAUCCCGCAUGGAACGCUAACUACGUGAAAUGUUUUCACUUGAAGCUCGAAAAACGGCGACGAGAAUGUACUUGUUUCGCUUCGAGCGUGGGUUUAUCGUUUUACCGGCGAGAGAAUGAGACAGAGCGUUUAACAUUUACGACGCUCUAUAGUUUUUACAUCGAUGGGGAAUUUAUACUUUACGCCGAAUUCGAAAAUGAUACGAUAAAUAAAUGAAUAACAUUUCCAAUUU